UACGGGAGGCAGCAGUAGGGAAUCUUCCACAAUGGGCGCAAGCCUGAUGGAGCAACGCCGCGUGUGUGAUGAAGGGUUUCGGCUCGUAAAACNCUGUUAUAAGAGAAGAACGGCACUGAUGAGUAACUGUUCAGUGUGUG
rnacentral:rRNA from 1 species